GCCAGACUCCUACGGGAGGCAGCAGUGGGGAAUAUUGCACAAUGGGCGAAACCCUGAUGCAGCGACGCCGCGUGAGUGAAGAAGUAUUUCGGUAUGUAAAGCUCUAUCAGCAGGGAAGAAAAUGACGGUACCUGACUAAGAAGCCCCGGCUAACUACGUGCCAGCAGCCGCGGUAAUACGUAGGGGGCAAGCGUUAUCCGGAUUUACUGGGUGUAAAGGGAGCGUAGACGGCCAGACAAGUCAGAAGUGAAAGCCCAGGGCUCAACUCUGGGACUGCUUUUGAAACUGCCGGGCUGGAGUGCAGGAGAGGUAAGCGGAAUUCCUGGUGUAGCGGUGAAAUGCGUAGAUAUCAGGAGGAACACCGGUGGCGAAGGCGGCCUGCUGGACUGCAACUGACGUUGAGGCCCGAAAGCGUGGGGAGCAAACAGGAUUAGAUACCCUCGUAGC
rnacentral:rRNA from 1 species